GCUAUCUUAUAUAAAGACGAACAAAUAAGGGAGACUCAAGCAUGGAUUGCAAGAGCUCAGGAGAUGGAUGCUUUGCAGUCAAGUACAAAUCACUCAUUGCAAGCUGAACUGCGAGAACGCACAGAACAAUACAAUCAGCUCUGGAUUGGUUGCCAAAGACAGGUGUUUGUAAGGAUGAGAAGCUGGAGGCGUGAUAUCAAGUUAUGCGCUUCUAAUGGUGCAAAGCACUAAACUUUUGUAAGCAUCGCUUCUUCUUGC